rnacentral:rRNA from 1 species
UUCGCAAUGCCCGAAAGGGUGACGAAGCGACGCCGCGUGUGGGAAGAAGGCCUUCGGGUUGUAAACCACUGUUGGGAGUUAGGAAGUGUGGAGGUGUUAAUAGCGCUUUCACUUGACUAAAGCUCCAGAGGAAGCCACGGCUAACUCUGUGCCAGCAGCCGCGGUAAUACAGAGGCGGCAAGCGUUGUUCGGAAUUAUUGGGCGUAAAGAGCACGUAGGCGGCUCUGCAAGUCAGCUGUGAAAGCCUUCUGCUUAACGGAAGAACGGCAGUUGAAACUACAGGGCUUGAGUGCGGGAGGGGAGAGUGGAACUUCUGGUGGAGCGGUGAAAUGCGUAGAUAUCAGAAGGAACGCCGGCGGCGAAAGCGGCUCUCUGGUCCGUAACUGACGCUGAGUGUGCGAAAGCUAGGGGAGCAAACGGGAUUAGAUACCCCGGUAGUCCUAGCCGUAAACGAUGGGCACUAAGUAGAGGGGUU